AGUUUACUAAUACUGGUAGUAGAUCAUAUCAAAACUAUUAAAGCUUGGCAGUUAAAGUUAUGCAGAGAAACUUGUUUUAUAAUCGUAAAUACUCGAUGAAUUUAACUUUUUAGUUAAAGCUUAUAUACCGCCGUUACACGAAAUUAAACACACCAAAUUUCUAAAAAAAAAACAUUCAAAAAUCAGGUCAAGGUAUAGCCUAUCUUUAAGUAAAAAUUAGUUACAAAUAAAAAAGAUUUAAGAAACCAAUAACACAAGUUUUUAAGAAAAAGAAUCUACAAACAAUUUAUAAUUAAAAAUAAUAAAUGAAAUUAAAAACAUUAAUGK
rnacentral:rRNA from 1 species